AAUCAAGGUACUGGAAAUGGAAUGAUAAAAUCUCUUCUCGAUUCAGCUGGUCAACCCUGUACAGCUGCUUAUGCUAUGCUUGCUGUCAUUCAAGGGCAUAAACGCUCUCUGGAUGUAGCCACAAUCUGGCAAGGGCAGUCUAGAUUUUUCAGUGUCUUGAUGCUUGCAUGGGGACUGAUAGCUGACAUAGAUAUCGAGUCUGAGCAGUAUCGGUGGAUGGGAAGUGCUCGAAUGGAUUUAUAUGUA